AACGAACGCUGGCGGCAGGCUUAACACAUGCAAGUCGAGCGCCCCGCAAGGGGAGCGGCAGACGGGUGAGUAACGCGUGGGAAUCUACCCUUUUCUACGGAAUAACGCAGGGAAACUUGUGCUAAUACCGUAUGUGUCCUUCGGGAGAAAGAUUUAUCGGGAAAGGAUGAGCCCGCGUUGGAUUAGCUAGUUGGUGGGGUAAAGGCCUACCAAGGCGACGAUCCAUAGCUGGUCUGAGAGGAUGAUCAGCCACAUUGGGACUGAGACACGGCCCAAACUCCUACGGGAGGCAGCAGUGGGGAAUAUUGGACAAUGGGCGCAAGCCUGAUCCAGCCAUGCCGCGUGAGUGAUGAAGGCCCUAGGGUUGUAAAGCUCUUUCACCGGAGAAGAUAAUGACGGUAUCCGGAGAAGAAGCCCCGCUAAUUCCA
rnacentral:rRNA from 1 species